rnacentral:rRNA from 1 species
GAGUUUGAUCAUGGCUCAGAACGAACGCUGGCGGCAUGCCUAACACAUGCAAGUCGAACGAAGGCUUCGGCCUUAGUGGCGCACGGGUGCGUAACGCGUGGGAAUCUGCCCUUGGGUUCGGAAUAACAGUGAGAAAUUACUGCUAAUACCGGAUGAUGACUUCGGUCCAAAGAUUUAUCGCCCAAGGAUGAGCCCGCGUAAGAUUAGCUAGUUGGUGAGGUAAAGGCUCACCAAGGCGACGAUCUUUAGCUGGUCUGAGAGGAUGAUCAGCCACACUGGGACUGAGACACGGCCCAGACUCCUACGGGAGGCAGCAGUGGGGAAUAUUGGACAAUGGGCGAAAGCCUGAUCCAGCAAUGCCGCGUGAGUGAUGAAGGCCUUAGGGUUGUAAAGCUCUUUUACCAGGGAUGAUAAUGACAGUACCUGGAGAAUAAGCUCCGGCUAACUCCGUGCCAGCAGCCGCGGUA